GUACUUCCAGCAUCAUGGGCAAUUUGGUUGAUGCGCCCUCUAACGCAGUCCACUGUAGCAAAGAUCAUAGUGCCAUUACGCACCUGAAACGAUACCCUCAACCCCACACUUGCCCAUACACUUCCUUCUGGCAUGUGUCCACCAAUCUGUUGAGCUACAGGCGCUGGCUGAACCCCCUGAGACCCGCUCUGUUGGAGCAAGCUAGUGCAACUUGUGGAACCGCUGGACUUGUCUGAUGGAAAAACAAGGCUUUAUUCCGCACUGCGCCAGAGGGCAGACCUUUCCUGGACACAGAGGCUGACAAGGCAGUGGACACGGCUGAAGGGAUCCACACUAGACUGAGCAUGCUAAUCCCAGAGUCGUCACCGAAAUAGCGCACAUUGCACUGUGCGGGUGCAAGGAUCUCAAAGCAUGUGGCCAACAGAGGCUCUAAAACACCUCAACCCAGGAUCCUGAAGGUUAGAGCAAACAGACCUGGAGGAGAAACCAG
ensembl:lncRNA